rfam:Azotobacter vinelandii DJ, complete genome.
AAGCUGCGAGCCGAUGGACAAGAACCGGAUGGAAGGCGCUGCCGAGCAGGGCGAGCGGACCAAGGGCCGCGAGGCUCUCGUGAUCAAGGCGAAGUGGCGUAAAUCCGGUGGUUGUGCAGCGAAG